CGAACGCUGGCGGCGUGCUUAACACAUGCAAGUCGAACGCGAAAGGGACUUCGGUCCUGAGUAAAGUGGCGCACGGGUGAGUAACGCGUAGAUAACCUGUCUUCAUGUCUGGAAUAAUACGCCGAAAGGGGUACUAAUACCGGAUAUUCUUGCUUUUCAUAAGUUAUGCAAGCAAAGGUGGCCUCUGCAUACGCUACUGCAUGAAGAGGGGUCUGCGUACCAUUAGCUAGUAGGUGGGGUAAUGGCCUACCUAGGCGACGAUGGUUAGCGGGUCUGAGAGGAUGAUCCGCCACACUGGCACUGGAACACGGGCCAGACUCCUACGGGAGGCAGCAGUGAGGAAUAUUGCGCAAUGGGGGAAACCCUGACGCAGCGACGCCGCGUGAGUGAGGAAAAGGCCUUCGGGUCGUAAAGCUCUGUCAAGAGGAAAGAAGUGUACAAUGGCUAAUACCUGUUGUAUUUGACGGUACCUCUAAAGGAAGCACCGGCUAACUCCGUGCCAGCAGCAGC
rnacentral:rRNA from 1 species